rnacentral:rRNA from 1 species
UGGGGAAUAUUGGACAAUGGGCGCAAGCCUGAUCCAGCCAUACCGCGUGGGUGAAGAAGGCCUUCGGGUUGUAAAGCCCUUUUGUUGGGAAAGAAAUCCUAUCGGUUAAUAACCGGUGGGGAUGACGGUACCCAAAGAAUAAGUCCCGGCUAACUUCGUGCCAGCAGCCGCGGUAAUACGAAGGGUGCAAGCGUUACUCGGAAUUACUGGGCGUAAAGCGUGCGUAGGUGGUUCGGUAAGUCUGAUGUGAAAGCCCUGGGCUCAACCUGGGAAUUGCAUUGGAUACUGGCGGGCUAGAGUGCUGUAGAGGAUGGCGGAAUUCCCGGUGUAGCAGUGAAAUGCGUAGAGAUCGGGAGGAACAUCCGUGGCGAAGGCGGCCAUCUGGACCAGCACUGACACUGAGGCACGAAAGCGUGGGGAGCAAA